rfam:Heligmosomoides polygyrus genome assembly, scaffold: HPBE_scaffold0004878
GCGCUGGUGGUGUAAAGCGUAGUAUCGCUGCCCGGAAAGCAGAAGGUGCAGGUUCUAGUCCCGCCCAGCGCA